AUUGAACGCUGGCGGCAUGCCUUACACAUGCAAGUCGAACGGUAACGGGCCUUCGGGUGCCGACGAGUGGCGAACGGGUGAGUAAUGUAUCGGAACGUACCUUUCAGUGGGGGAUAACGUAGCGAAAGUUACGCUAAUACCGCCUAUUCUGUGAGCAGGAAAGCAGGGGAUCGCAAGACCUUGCGCUGAUUGAGCGGCCGAUAUCGGAUUAGCUAGUUGGUGAGGUAAAGGCUCACCAAGGCGACGAUCUGUAGCGGGUCUGAGAGGAUGAUCCGCCACACUGGAACUGAGACACGGUCCAGACUCCUACGGGAGGCAGCAGUGGGGAAUUUUGGACAAUGGGGGCAACCCUGAUCCAGCCAUGCCGCGUGAGUGAAGAAGGCCUUCGGGUUGUAAAGCUCUUUCGGCCGGGAAGAAAUCGUAUCAGCUAAUACCUGGUGCGGAUGACGGUACCGGCAUAAGAAGCACCGGCUAACUACGUGCCAGCCGCCGCGGUAAUAC
rnacentral:rRNA from 1 species